rnacentral:piRNA from 1 species
CUGGCAACGACCAUGCUGGAGAAUGGG